UCUACAGAGUAUCAUGUCGUCUGCAAAGAAUGAAAGUUUGCUAAUUUGGAUGCCUUUUUUUUUUCCUUUUUGUUGUCUGAUUGCUGAGGCAGGGACUUCCAGUACCAUGUUGAACAACAGUUUUACCAUAUUCUUAACAGCUGUUAUGUCAACAUACUUUAAAUUAUUGAAAAAGUACCACUUUUCAGAAGAAUUAUGCCCAGGAGGGAUAACUCUCUCUGUUCCCCUUAUAAACCAGGCUUCUGUCAUUCCAAGACCUUCAACAUGGGUCCCAAACUGCCUUACCUAGAUUUAUUUCUUCUUAUUUCUCAAGAGUAAUUUUCCAAUCCAGCCAAACUGAUUUAUUCACCAUUCAUUCCCUGAAAGUAUCUUGUAGAUUAGCCUAGAGAGGUAUGGAUAGAAAUGGAAAGAAGUAGAAACAGAUCCAACUGAUGGGAGGGGUGACAGAAAGGAACAAAUCAAGGAUGUUUCCUUGGUUUUGGUUUGAUGGAUGAGCUAUUUACUCAUGGAGGAGGAAGGAGUUUAGACAGAAUUCUAUUUGGGACAUGUUGAGAUGUCAUAUUUCUAAGUAGAGCUGUCACGUAGGUAAUCAAUUAAAAUAAUGGAUAUAGUUAAGGUAACUUAAGAAAAUGUUUUUUAGAGAAAGGAAGCAAAUAGAGGAUCAGGUUCGGAGACAGUCUAACAUUUAGAGGUUAGAGGAUGAGUCAGCAAAGAAAGACAAAGAGUGAUCAGUGAAAGAGGAAAACAAGCAGAAUGGAGUCUCAUGAAAGCAAGAGAAAUGUGUUUUAAGUGGGAAAAGUGGUCAAUCUUUUUUUUUUUUUUUUUAAGAGAGAGGUAGGGAGGGGCAGAGGGAAAGAGAAUCUUAAGCAGGGGGCCUCCAUCUCACAACCCUGAGAUCAUGACCUGAGCUGAAGUCGAGUCAGACACUUAACUGAGCCUCCCAGCUGCUCCGUGGUCAAUCAUUUUGAAUGUUAUUUACUGAAGCAUCAAGUAAUAGGAGCUUUGUUCACUGUAAUUGGCCACAGUGAGUUGAUGGUAAAUUCAGUAUAGGUGGAGGACAGCUUCCAAACUGGAUUGGGUUGAAGAGGUUAUAAAGUUGGUAAGGAAGUAAAGACAGUAAGUGUAGAUUACCAUUUGAGAAGUUUUGCCAUGAAGGGGAACAGGAAAAUAAAGUGAUAGUGGGCAAGAAAAUAAGAUUCUUGGUUUUUAUUUGGGAGAUAUUACAUCAAGUUUAUAUGCUGAUGGAGUGAGCCAUGAGAAAAGAGAAAGACUGAUGGGGUGCAAAUAAUAAAGGGAGGAAGAUUUUGAAUGAGAUCCAGAGCACAAGAGAGAAAUGAGUCCUUAAUACAUCAGGGACCUUUCAUUUAUAAAGAUGGUAAAAUGUGGUAAAUACAGGUGGGUUUGUAGAUUUGAUAGUAGAAACAUGAGAGCAUUUUUCUGUGAUUAACUCUGUAUUCUACUUAACUUUGAAGUGAAAUUACUACCCAAAACUGGUAAUUUGAUGGUACACCCGUGUCUGGUUUGAUUACUGUAUUUUUUUAAAAGAAUUAUUUAUUUAUUUUAGAGCAUGUGCACCAGAGUUUGGGGGGUGCAGAGGGAGAGAAUCUCAAGCAGACUCCCUGCUGAGUGUGGAGCCUGAUGCAGGGCUCAGUCUCACGACCCCUGAGAUAAUGACCUGAGCUGUACUCACGAGUCAAACACUUAACUGACUGAGCCACCCAAGUGCCCCUUUUCUUUCUUUUUGAUUUCCUUGAAAGAUAAUUGGGAUGAGUAGAGCCAUUCUUCCCCCAUCUUCCACUGCUGCUCUCCUCCUUCAUUCCACUUCUACCCCAAUGGCCAUGGCCAUUUUUGGCAUCCCCUAUGGGUGAUGGUAUCUCAUCAUGGCAGACCAUAGAGAUAAUGAGCUUCAAGGCUAUCACAAGAAAAGAUGGUGGAGCACAAGAUCAACUACUGUCUUAAACAGUUAACGGAACAAUUGAAAGAACUUACCAAUCAGUAUGAAAAGUCUGAAAAUGAUCCAAAGGACUACAGUCACCCAAAUCUGGGCAAACUUGUUUGUGAAGUACUUAAGAAGGUAACUGAAGAAAAAUUCGUUGUUAAAUGAACCAAGAUAGGUUGUCGCUUGUCAUUGUCAGCUUGAAAAAAGCUGAGGUCAGGAACAAGAGUUGUUUUGGCUGAUUACAUUGAUAUUUGCCAAGAUCCACUGGUUUACAACAUGUCUCAUUAAGGACAUAGGGAAUAUUUCUUUUUGUGAAGUGGAGGGGCUACCAGAAUAGAUCAGAGAAUUCAGAGGAAAUAAUAGAACUACCUCUUAAAACCUAGAAUAAUAGAACUACCUCUUAAAACCUAGAAUUAUUUCAUUAUAGGGAUAUCUCCAAAAGGCUGUUUGUUAUAUGGGCCAAUAGUUAAGAAAAACACUAAUAGCAAGAGCUGCUGUUAACCAGCUGGAAUACAAUUUCUUAAAUGUAGACCAGUACAUUGGUGAAAGUGCUCAGGAAUCAUCAGUCAUGCAUUAGUUUUAUGGAUAAAAAAUGAUGCCAUUGGUGGAUACUGGUUUCCUGGAAGUACUUCAGCUGAUAGAUUCAGAGGACUUUAUGGAGUUACCCAAAUGGAUGGAUAUGAUACUCCGCACAGUUAAAAUAAUCAUGGCUACAAACAAGCACAGUGGAUCCUGCUUUGCUGUCUCCAGAUAAACAGAAAAGAUACACAUUAAUCUAUCUAUAAGCAAGGUUAAAUAUCUUAAAAAUCUCUGGAGGUACCAUUACAAAGCAUGACAACAUAGAUUAUUAGAAGCAUUUAUGAAGCAUUUACGGAGCUUUCAGAUGGCUCUAAUGGAGCAGACCUGAAAAAUGUUUGCACUGAAGCAGGCAUAUUUACAAUUCAUGCUGCUCAUGAGUUUGUAGUAUAGAAAGACUUAAUGAGAGCAAUCAGAAGUAGCUGAUUUUAAGUAGCUAGAAUUUAAAUUGGACUACAAACCUGAAUUCUAA